rnacentral:rRNA from 1 species
GAAUCUUGCACAAUGGGGGAAACCCUGAUGCAGCGACGCCGCGUGAGCGAUGAAGCCCUUCGGGGUGUAAAGCUCUUUCGACGGGAACGAUGAUGACGGUACCCGGAGAAGAAGCUGCGGCUCACUACGUGCCAGCAGCCGCGGUAAUACGUAGGCAGCAAGCGUUGUUCGGAGUUACUGGGCGUAAAGAGUGUGUAGGCGGUUCGCUAAGUUCGGUGUGAAAUCUCCCGGCUUAACUGGGAGGGUGCGCCGGAAACUGGCGGGCUAGAGUGUGGGAGAGGGAAGCGGAAUUCCUGGUGUAGCGGUGAAAUGCGUAGAUAUCAGGAGGAACACCGGUGGUGUAGACGGCUUCCUGGACCACAACUGACGCUGAGACACGAAAGCGUGGGGAGCAAACAGG